CCCGCCCGUGCGGAGGGAACCGGGAUUCCCAGGCGGCGCUCUGGGCCCCCCUCCGCCCCUUUCCGCAGCUCACAUUUCCCUCUCCUCGUAAAUCAAUACCGCCCCUCUCUAUCCCGCCCCCGCCACCCUCACCCACCCCCUAGAAGAGGGGUUUUGAGAAUUUUAAGAACCGGGUUUUGCUCCGUUUGCACACUUGUCUCCGCCCGGCCUCCCAGCCGGGCACGGCGCGGACAGCGGCGGCUGAACCCUGAAGGGGCCGGGACGCCCGUCUACCGGCCCGGAGCCCUGGAGCACACCUCGAGGCGGCAGUCGGGCCGUACGCCAGGGCUGGGCGAGCCCCGAAUCGCAGGUGCCCCAGCGGAGCCGCGGGGAUCUCAGGAAACAACAUGGAGGUGGCGGUGCCCGGGCUCUCCUGCCCCCGCAGCCCGCUUGCCCGCGCACCGCCAGCCCAGAGCCGCCCGGACCAUCGGAAUUGGCACUGCCGGCCCUCUGAGUCCCCACUGGCCUUGCAUUUGAGAGUCCUGUGUGUCUAGUUGCACUUCUGGAGAGACAAUUAAGCUUUUUUUCAAAUUAUUCACUAGUUUUGGGGUUUGAGAGCAAGGGGGCAAGGAGACUGGUGGAUGGGGCAGCUGUAGAGCCCAUAGGGCAAGGAUGCAGUGCCUGUCAAAUCAUCACCUCCUUCAUUUAAGCCUGUAUGGCAACAAAGGAAGCUCUAUAUGAUAUUACAGUUUCCUCCAUCUGCCACUUAGAACAUUUCAGGUGAAAACGCAGGAGGGCUGGCAGUCUGCGAAGCUCUUACAUGCUGGGCAGAGAAAGCUCAAGAUCAUUUAAAACUUGCUUUGCCAGGAACUUUACUGAGCAGAUAUGACACUUUCAAUAAACUGCUCUGUCUCCCAAGCUUUGUUUCCCAGAUCCUCAGCAAGCCUUAUUCCAAGAAAAGGCCUCUGCUCAGAGCUCAUCCAAAAGGCAAUGAACUGCUGGGGACAGUGUUGUAAGCACAGCCAGUUGACAACUUCACUAAUGGCUCCUCCACAGGUUAACAAUUUGUGGGUGUUAGGGACUCUC